rnacentral:rRNA from 1 species
GACGAACGCUGGCGGCGUGCCUAAUACAUGCAAGUUGAGCGCUGAAGGUUGGUACUUGUACCAACUGGAUGAGCAGCGAACGGGUGAGUAACGCGUGGGGAAUCUGCCUUUGAGCGGGGGACAACAUUUGGAAACGAAUGCUAAUACCGCAUAAAAACUUUAAACACAAGUUUUAAGUUUGAAAGAUGCAAUUGCAUCACUCAAAGAUGAUCCCGCGUUGUAUUAGCUAGUUGGUGAGGUAAAGGCUCACCAAGGCGAUGAUACAUAGCCGACCUGAGAGGGUGAUCGGCCACAUUGGGACUGAGACACGGCCCAAACUCCUACGGGAGGCAGCAGUAGGGAAUCUUCGGCAAUGGAAGAAAGUCUGACCGAGCAACGCCGAGUGAGUGAAGAAGGUUCUCGGAUCGUAAAACUCUGUUGGUAGAGAAGAACGUUGGUGAGAGUGGAAAGCUCAUCAAGUGACGGUAACUACCCAGAAAGGGACGGCUAACUACGUG